rnacentral:pre_miRNA from 1 species
AUAUAAAGCAAUCUGUCCUUAAGUAGGGGUAAAUUACUCUAAAAGAAAUGAAUUCUAGUUUUCUCUUCAAGUCAAGUGUCUUGU